GGUUGAUGCACAGGCGGUUUUCCCUCCCAGCUCCGCAGCAACUGUUCCCCUCUGGAGGUUUAUACCUACAAACUCAUCGGCCGCGGUUCUCCGACGGCCUUUUUU
rnacentral:sRNA from 1 species